rnacentral:rRNA from 1 species
GACAGAGGGUGCAAGCGUUGUUCGGAAUUACUGGGCGUAAAGCGCGCGUAGGCGGCUUUUUAAGUCGGGUGUGAAAUCCCACGGCUUAACCGUGGAAGUGCAUUCGAUACUGGAAGGCUUGAGUCCUGGAGAGGGUGGUGGAAUUCCCAGUGUAGAGGUGAAAUUCGUAGAUAUUGGGAGGAACACCGGUGGCGAAGGCGACCACCUGGACAGAGACUGACGCUGAGGUGCGAAAGCGUGGGUAGCAAACAGG